rnacentral:rRNA from 1 species
UACGGGGGGGGCAAGCGUUGUUCGGAAUUACUGGGCGUAAAGGGCUCGUAGGUGGCCAACUAAGUCAGACGUGAAAUCCCUCGGCUUAACCGGGGAACUGCGUCUGAUACUGGAUGGCUUGAGUUUGGGAGAGGGAUGCGGAAUUCCAGGUGUAGCGGUGAAAUGCGCAGAGAUCGGGAGGAACACCCGUAGCGAAGGCGGCGCUCUGGGCCGGUACUGACGCUGAGGAGCGAAAGCGUGGGGAGCAAACAGG